rnacentral:lncRNA from 1 species
UCCAUUUUCUGCAACUCCUCACCAAGAGCCCGACUACCAGGGUUUGUAUUCAGCCGCUCAUGCCUUUUGCGAUACUUGUUGCGGUAGCGACGAUAUUUCUCCAACAUCUUCAAGAAAAUCUUGGCCCGAAUGUUGGCCCUACGAAUGCUCUCCAUUUCCACCAUAUACGUCUGAAAAAUAAAAAGAUAGGUUAGAAUCCUAUCAUCAAGGAAAAGCGAAAGUAAGCAUAACAUACCCUUAAGCCCAUAGCGGCCACCUCGUCCAUCAAUUCAGCAUCGAGAAUGGUCCGAAGGGUCACAUUCUCAGAUACGGAGCAUAGCAUGCUGAACUGCGGCACUAGGUCCUCCGUGUCCCCAGGAGAUUGACAUCCGAAGGGAUCUCAAGAAUACGGGCCGAGCCUCCCACACGAACUAACGAGUGAGUAAGACCCUCCUCAAACAUCCUGACAUCAUCAGGGUCGAGGUCCGAUUCGGAUUCAUAGUCGUCGACCACCAUGGCGUUUCCUCUUUCAACAGCCGAAGAGGAAGCAUGACCAACUAUGGAGGACGUGGGUACGUCCGAAACUACAACGGUAGCCCCGAAAAUCUAACCUUCCACCACGAUAGGUUGCUGACCACCAACAACGUUGGGAAUCUCUGGUUGAGCCGAGGCGAUAACCGGUUCCGUCCCUAUGGGGGGAGCCACAAAAACCCCCUCUCCAGACCCUGUCAAAGGAGAGUCAUCUAGAUGAAUCACUGUUGGGGGUGUUGUCUCGAACUCCACUCGCCGUCUUUUUGAUGGCCACUCUUCUUCCCUAGUAGGCAAAGAUUCACCCGUCAGGCGAACAACAUGGGUUGGAACAUCGGCCUGAGAAGCGGCCCUCGCAGAGUAACCACGGACGCAGACUCAACUGAAGCAGCCCUCGACGAAGGUCGGGCAGUGGGUACCGCGAUAGGGCGAGCAGAUAAGGCUGGCUGCCGGAAAGCUAACGGAGGAGCCCUCACUCUCCGUACCCUCCCUGACACCGACAAACAUCAUGUGAGGAAUUAAAUACAAAGAUAAAAAGAGAAAAACAGUGAACAGAAAUGACAUCUUACCAGAAAGAGGCCUGUGCCCAUACUUGUCAUAGAAAGUCGCCCACAUGCGGACCCCUGCUGUAUGAGGGAGAAUAGCACUUACCCACUCGCGGAUAUUUUCGACAGGUGGAGGGGGCAAUUUCUCAGUUGCAAAAACAUAACAGGGUUUAGUACUAUAACGGAAAAUGGUCGGAUAUAUCUUCGACUAAAAGCAUGAGAAGUUCCACUUCUCAGGGAACCCCGUCGGAUCCACCACAAUGUGUUCAGUCUGCACAUAGAAAUAAUUCUCAUAAAAACGAUGGUUAGUUCUAUCAUACAUCUUCACCAUCAGACUCUUCGACCGUCGAGGACACAUGUGAAGCAUCAUGUCGCGGAUAAGCUGAGGAGCGAAGAUACUAAGCAGGUGGUAUAAGGUGAUCUCACGACCGGCGAGUUCCGCAAACUUGAGCAACAUAAGGAACAUCUUGUAUAGGUACGACGAAAGUUGGGCGGAGCAUACCUCAUAAAAGCGGUAGAAGUUUACCACUAGGAGAGGGAGAGGAAGUGUGUAUCCAAUAAGGAAGGGGUAAGCAUAAAAUACACAGUACCUACAACAGUCAAAGUGAACUAUGUCGUUUCCUUCCACCGGCCGCAUGUCGACAUAACCCGGGAUCCUCCACCUGGUUUUCAACUCUACAAUGCCUUCUUCUCUCAUAACAGAAGGAACAGGCUCCGGCUCCGCCCCGGCGCGACUGCUGAAGUCGGUCAAUUCUCUCCCAGUGCAAGGAAAAAUCUCAACUAUCAACAAGACCUCCUCGUCUUCCACUGCAUCUGCCCCUCCAGUGACCUGAGCAGCACUUUCCGGUGCUGGAAUCGUGACGGGGAGAUCGGUGCGAGAGGAAUCACCAGCCAUUUUGUCCAGAAGAUACGGCAAAAAGACAACGGAAAGAAAGGAUGAAAAUCCUCAGUUAACAAAAGGGCAAACGAAAACUUGGAAUGUCAGGAAGAAAGUAUAUUUGCAGAAUUCUUUCGCGUAAAAGGAAAAAAGUGUGUCAAUCGAAUGAUAAGUUCUUUCUAUUUAUAAGAGACAUAGAUCCCUCGAGCACGAAACCUAAGAGUCGCCAAUUGAACCUGAUAGGGCACGAAACGUUUCAGUUCCCCAGGGACGUGUGUCAUGAUGGCGGUAACCACAAAAUAAGGCUUCGAUACCAAACGACGUUUUGGUUCCGAAACAGCCGCAACGGUUCAUGGGUAUCAAGAGAACGCCGCCACCUCGCCUAAAACCCAAGUAAUGUAACUAAGGAACGAGAAGUCAGAUUUUGCUCAAACUCAUAGCAAUCAUGAUCCGUUUGCCGGGCCCGACAGAGGACGACCCCAAUAUCAUACCCUUUUUUACAAACUUCACUUAACUCUUUUAAAAUUAAUAAAAGUGAUUCGUAAAGCUUGAAAAGGAUUUUCUAAUUAGAACAUGACAAAAAUUGUGUUCAAAAGGAAAUAACUCAGAGUCGCCACCUGACAUUGAUUUCGGUGUGUCAGGUCAUCAUUUUUUUUAAAAAUGAUUUUUCCUUUAAGACACUUUGGACUCCAAAACUAAAUUCGCACCAGAGAUUUGGGUAAGGGGGUUUAUUUGACUCGGGGAGAAGGUGUUAGGCACUCCCCAAGUCUGUGAAAGUCACGGUUUCAUACUCGAUCUAGUUGGCUUUUAAAAUAUUUAAGUUGAGGUAAAAUAAAAACAGAAAAGAAAAAUAAACACGUAAGAUGCUCGAGGUCGUCCCCCUCCUAAUAAAAGAAAGAUAAAAAUAAAAUGAAAUAAGAAUAAAAGUACCACGAGUUCGCUUUCCGCCUCCAAUUAUAGAAUACUAAGGGGCAUUCCCCAGAAUAAAAAAUAUACAAAUCCUUCGGGGCAUUCCCAGGAUAAAUUUAACUAAGGGAAUGACCUCUUGCCUCAAAAUUAAACAAACAAAAUCCUAGAGUUUGCCUACCUAAACAUUAACGGCCUAAACAUGCUCCUAGCAAUUAAAAGCAACAAAGCAAGAUAAAGAACUAAGAAAAUCGAUCCAAGCUCAAAUUUUUGUAAUUCCCUUUCCAGCUCGUCCAGUACGCCUUUAUAAAGUCCAUGUUUCUAUUAAACCAACCCCUUGACCAAAUUCAAUUUUUUGUCCCGUUUAUCAAAUUGUGACUUAUUUGCCUUAAUAUUCCUAAUGCACUUCAAGUUUAACCCAAUUAAUUCAAAUUGAUCCAACACAAAAUUAACGAUAAUGCAAAAAACUACAGUGAAUCAAGGAAGCAAAAAAACACAAAACAAGACAUGAAACAUUCCAAAAACCACAAGCAAAAUAAUGAAAAAGAUCAAAGCACAUAUCAGAUGAGAGAAAAUUGAACCUCAUUGAUUGAUUUCUUUGUAUUAAACGUGACCUUGGUCGCAACAAACUCUGACAAACCAAAUUUGGCCGAAAAGCGCAAUAGUAGCAGGAGCUCGGACCGCGAAUUCCUUUGACAGACCUCUUCGACUCAAACUCAGGAUCCUGAGCAGCUAUGUUGGCGCUGAGAAUACUCUAAUCACUAGUUAUAAAAUUAGCUAAAAUUGGCUAUAACCUUUUGACCACUUAAAAUUCAGCAGACUCCCAUAAAUUUUUAAUAGAAGACAAAACCCUCUUGGCUCUUGUUUGAGAACUAGGUGAAGAAGUGAGAAAAGCAAUAGCCACAAAAAUAGUAAGUAAAAAGAGACGUUUGGCUAGCUUCUCUAUCUCUCUCGUCUGGAUGUGCACAAAUCCGGCGUCGCUACCGCAACGAGUAACACCAGAAUAGCGCUAAUGGGAAGCAAAGAUCAAAGGGUUGCCAAAGUAGGCAUGUCCGGCCAGAUCUAGUUUCGUCCUGUGUGUGUGUGUGUGUUUGAGAAUGAGGGGAGAUCACAACUGUUGGGAGUGGGUAGAGACGGGGUUGUCGUUGGCGGCUGUAUAUUCUGGAGAAGAUGACUGUGUGUGGCGGGUUAGAGGCUGGUGGCGGAGAGGUCUAACGAUGGUUCUCUUUUUAAAAUGGGGUGGUGGAAUUGGUCGGCGGUGUGGAGCUGGGUAGUGUCCAGGCUGCUGAUGGCUUGGAGAUGUGAAGAAGGUGGGAGAUUAGGGAGGGACAGCUGGUUUCUCGUUAGGGCUUUCUAGGGUUUUUU